AUUGAACGCUGGCGGCAUGCCUUACACAUGCAAGUCGAACGGCAGCACGGGUGCUUGCACCUGGUGGCGAGUGGCGAACGGGUGAGUAAUACAUCGGAACAUGUCCUGUAGUGGGGGAUAGCCCGGCGAAGCCGGAUUAAUACCGCAUACGAACUACGGAUUAAAGCGGGGGGCCUUCGGGCCUCGCGCUAUAGGGGUGGCCGAUGGCUGAUUAGCUAGUUGGUGGGGUAAAGGCCUACCAAGGCGACGAUCAGUAGCUGGUCUGAGAGGACGACCAGCCACACUGGGACUGAGACACGGCCCAGACUCCUACGGGAGGCAGCAGUGGGGAAUUUUGGACAAUGGGCGAAAGCCUGAUCCAGCAAUGCCGCGUGUGUGAAGAAGGCCUUCGGGUUGUAAAGCACUUUUGUCCGGAAAGAAAUCCUUGGCCCUAAUACGGUCGGGGGAUGACGGUACCGGAAGAAUAAGCACCGGCUAACUACGUG
rnacentral:rRNA from 1 species